rnacentral:tRNA from 1 species
GAACUUGAAGUGUUUAAGCACUAAGAUCUUUCAAUUCUUAAGAUACAGUUUAAAAUUA